AAGCGUUGUUCGGAUUCAUUGGGCGUAAAGGGUGCGUAGGCGGCGCGGUAAGUCGGGUGUGAAAUCUCGGAGCUUAACUCCGAAACUGCAUUCGAUACUGCCGUGCUUGAGGACUGGAGAGGAGACUGGAAUUUACGGUGUAGCGGUGAAAUGCGUAGAUAUCGUAAGGAAGACCAGUGGCGAAGGCGGGUCUCUGGACAGUUCCUGACGCUGAGGCACGAAGGUCAGGGGAGCAAACGGG
rnacentral:rRNA from 1 species